UGUCAGAAGUGGGAUUCGAACCCACGCCCACAAGUGAGGACUAUGACCUGAACGCCGCGCCUUAGACCGCUCGGCCUUUCUCAC